rnacentral:rRNA from 1 species
AACGAACGCUGGCGGCAUGCCUAACACAUGCAAGUCGAACGAGACCUUCGGGUCUAGUGGCGCACGGGUGCGUAACGCGUGGGAAUCUGCCCUUGGGUUCGGAAUAACAGUUAGAAAUGACUGCUAAUACCGGAUGAUGUCUUCGGACCAAAGAUUUAUCGCCCAAGGAUGAGCCCGCGUAAGAUUAGCUAGUUGGUGAGGUAAUGGCUCACCAAGGCGACGACUUUUAGCUGGUCUGAGAGGAUGAUCAGCCACACUGGGACUGAGACACGGCCCAGACUCCUACGGGAGGCAGCAGUGGGGAAUAUUGGACAAUGGGCGAAAGCCUGAUCCAGCAAUGCCGCGUGAGUGAUGAAGGCCUUAGGGUUGUAAAGCUCUCUUACCAGGGGAUGAUAAUGACAGUACCUGGAGAAUAAGCUCCGGCUAACUCCGUGCCAGCCGCCGCCGUAA